rnacentral:rRNA from 1 species
UACAGAGGGUGCGAGCGUUAAUCGGAAUUACUGGGCGUAAAGCGUGCGUAGACGGUUAUUUAAGUCGGGUGUGAAAGCCCCGGGCUCAACCUGGGAAUUGCAUUCGAGACUGAAUAGCUAGGGUACGGUAGAGGGAAGUGGAAUUUCCGGUGUAGCGGUGAAAUGCGUAGAUAUCGGAAGGAACAUCAGUGGCGAAAGCGACUUCCUGGACCAGUACCGACGUUUAGGCACGAAAGCGUGGGGAGCAAACAGG